UGUUUGAAAAUGCAAACAUUUGACGGAUAGAAAACAUGUUGUAGACCUAUGUUCCUGAAUUACUAUACGCACCAUGCUGCCUUGUUGACAAUAUGAUCGCGCAUUUGAAAUGGCCGUUCAGUCUAAUCGAACUCCCUGAAUAUCCAGCAGGUGCGAGCGCUUAGUAAUUAGAGAAAAAAAGUCCGUAACUAAGGAUAUUUAUAGGGACAUGACCGACGGGGGAGAUUUACGUUCGACUGAGUCCACAAACAACCCGCUGCGUCAUGGUUCUUCCUGGGCUUCAGGUUUGGAGAUGGAUACUCUUUGCCUGCAUUCACUGGCUUUGUGUCUGUCAAGAGACUCCAAGACCGGUUUACAUGGUAGCCAUUCCUGCAGUGAUCCAGGCAGGCUCAGAGGCCAAGCUUUGUGCCAGCCUUCUGCAGCCCAACGAGACCCUGGUCAUGACCGUAUCUCUGAUGGCCGACGGGCAGAACAAGAGACUUCUCCACCAGAGUUCUGACCAAGAGUUUCACCGCUGUUUCC